ensembl:lncRNA
CUGGAACAUACGAGUGUCGCGUCAAGACAGGAAAUCAUCACAAGAAAAGAGCUAAUCUGGGUGGUGACCCCAUCAGCAUCAUCACACUGAGAGUUUUUCCUCCAUACCAGAAAGUCAUCACAGCUGAGCCUGGACAGAACGCCGCUUUGACAUGUCGAGCUCCAAACAACAACAGCAGCAUCACCGGUGUAGAGUGGAGCAGGGCUGACCUGGGAGAUGAAUAUGUCCUUUUGUAUCGGGAUGGGCGGUUCGAUCCAGAAAUCCAGCAUCCAUCUUAUAAGAACCGGGUGGAUCUGCAGGACAGACAGAUGAAGGAUGGAGACGUGUCUUUGAUUCUGAACGAUGUGACGAUUAAUGAUGCUGGAGCAUACGAGUGCCGUGUCAAGACAGGAACAAACAUAAGGAAAAGAGCAAAUCUAGAUGGUGACCCCAUCAGCAUCAUCACACUGAGAGUUGAUCCUCCAGGUCGACCAGAGGAUGGAUCUGUUGGAUUGAUCGUCGGUCUGAGUGUUACUGCUGUGCUUCUUGUUGCUGCUGUUGUUGGUUUUCUGGUCUACAAAAAACAUAAACAACAGCAGAGUCAGGAUUCAUACCAGCCUCCUGUUGAACUGUAGCAUGUUUGAAGAUGCAAGAGAUGCCUGUAUCACUAAGGCACCAAGCAGAGAUCUGACUUCAGAAACUAAAACAAUCACAUCCAUGUAGAAAACCAGAAGAGUUGCUUCAUUCCAAAGAGAUUUCACAGCAGAGACAAUGUUAAAGAAAAAGCCAACUGUUCCUCAAGUAAGAAAAAAUAACAGAUAAUCAAAAAGAAGAAAAA